rnacentral:snRNA from 1 species
UAGCAUUACAGCUCUUUUAGGAUUUGCCUAGCAUGUUUUUCAGUUUUUACUGGAAAGACCCAU